rnacentral:rRNA from 1 species
UACGUAGGGGGCAAGCGUUGUCCGGAAUCAUUGGGCGUAAAGCGCACGUAGGCGGUCUGCUAAGUCGGUUGUGAAAGCCCCCGGCUCAACCGGGGAAUUGCGUUCGAUACUGGCAGGCUGGAGGACGGUUGGGGUGAGUGGAACUCCAGGUGGAGCGGUGAAAUGCGUAGAUAUCAGGAAGAACACCAAUGGCGAAGGCAGCGCUCUGGGACGGUACUGACGCUGAGACGCGAAAGCGUGGGGAGCGAACAGG